CUAAGAUUGCAUUUUUCCGCUCGGGACCAUGAUCCUCCCAAUCACAGGAAAAAUGCUUCAUAUACACGAAAUUCGAAAGGUUACCCGUCCGAAUUUCGUGACGUUCCUAAUUUCCUGAAAUUCGGAAUGAAAGGUUAACGAAGUCACAGGUAUUCGAACAAUCGUCCUGUACUCAGAACAGUUUUCAUCUGUAUCACGCAAGGUUCAUCUGGUUUCGCGCGUUCCUUACCUAUGUGUGAGUAAACAACUGUUGUUUAUCUCAUUCUAUCGUGUGACAACUGCAAUGAAGAUUUUGUUUGAGGUUAGUUUCCGAAUUUAUGAGAGGGUCAAGUGCUCGGAAAUGGACGUCGUAGCAACCUGGAAGUGUUACUUAUUACUUCGAAAAACCAGCGGAAAACGAUACCCGAUUCUAUGAAAUUUAAUUCUUGUAUAAAGUUUGGAACUAAUAGAACCAGAAGACAAUCAAAGCAAACGGCAGUAGAAACUAAAGCAACUCCGAAAUGGGCGGAAUUCUGCUUCGAGAAGUCCAAAGAAAUUCUCACAAUGUGGUGCUGUAAGUUUCAGUACCAUUCAACCACCGGCUCGAAUGAUAGAAAAAACGUUCUCAACGGAUCUAAACCCGUCGCAAAAAAUCCACGGGAUGUGCGGGAGGUGCUAAUGCCAAGUGCCAACGCAAAAAGAUAAAAAAAAAACAAUAAACUAAUCAGCAAAUUACGCAAGUAAAUCAUUCAAGGAUAACCAGGCCGGCCAAUCUGUAAACCAAGAAAAAGGUGAUAAGAGAUACAGAAGACGACUGCUACAACACUCGCCGCAAAAAUAAGAUCAGCAGGGAAAAACAUCCCUUCGAGUGGACACUAACCCCAUCCUCAAUUGGUCGGAAAGAACAACCUGCAAGGGUUUCCAAAAACGGAAGAUGACCGGAGAAGGAAUCGUAGCCAAAAGAGGAACUUGCGCUACAAAAGAGCACUUAAAGAUGUUCCUUUGUGCCUGCGGAUGCCUUAAAGUAACCGGGUGCACAUUUAAGCUACCGGAAAUGACGAUUUUCUUCGCGAGUAAGAAGCGGAUGAGGAAGCCGAUCAGAUAUCUCUCGUAAACC